rnacentral:rRNA from 1 species
CCCGGGAAACUGGGUCUAAUACCGGAUAUGACCACUCCAGGCAUCUGGUGGUGGUGGAAAGUUUUUCGGUUGGGGAUGGGCUCGCGGCCUAUCAGCUUGUUGGUGGGGUGAUGGCCUACCAAGGCGACGACGGGUAACCGGCCUGAGAGGGCGACCGGUCACACUGGGACUGAGACACGGCCCAGACUCCUACGGGAGGCAGCAGUGGGGAAUAUUGCGCAAUGGGCGGAAGCCUGACGCAGCGACGCCGCGUGGGGGAUGACGGCCUUCGGGUUGUAAACCCCUUUCAGCAGGGACGAAGCUAACGUGACGGUACCUGCAGAAGAAGCGCCGGCUAACUACGUGCCAGCAGCCGCGGUAAUACGUAGGGCGCAAGCGUUGUCCGGAAUUAUUGGGCGUAAAGAGCUCGUAGGCGGUUUGUCGCGUCUGUCGUGAAAGCCCACGGCUUAACCGUGGGUCUGCGGUGGAUACGGGCAGACUAGAGGCAGGUAGGGGAGAAUGGAAUUCCCGGUGUAGCGGUGAAAUGCGCAGAUAUCGGGAGGAACACCGGUGGCGAAGGCGGUUCUCUGGGCCUGUACUGACGCUGAGGAGCGAAAGCGUGGGAGCGAACAGGAUUAGAUACCCUGGUAGUCCACGCCGUAAACGUUGGGCGCUAGGUGUGGGGUUCUUCCACGGAUUCCGCGCCGUAGCUAACGCAUUAAGCGCCCCGCCUGGGGAGUACGGCCGCAAGGCUAAAACUCAAAGGAAUUGACGGGGGGCCCGCACAAGCGGCGGAGCAUGUUGCUUAAUUCGACGCAACGCGAAGAACCUUACCAAGGCUUGACAUCGCCGGAAAUCCCGCAGAGAUGCGGGGUCCUUUUUGGGCCGGUGACAGGUGGUGCAUGGCUGUCGUCAGCUCGUGUCGUGAGAUGUUGGGUUAAGUCCCGCAACGAGCGCAACCCUCGUUCCAUGUUGCCAGCACGUAGUGGUGGGGACUCAUGGGAGACCGCCGGGGUCAACUCGGAGGAAGGUGGGGAUGACGUCAAGUCAUCAUGCCCCUUAUGUCUUGGGCUGCAAACAUGCUACAAUGGCCGGUACAGAGGGCUGCGAUACCGUGAGGUGGAGCGAAUCCCUUAAAGCCGGUCUCAGUUCGGAUCGAAGUCUGCAACUCGACUUCGUGAAGUCGGAGUCGCUAGUAAUCGCAGAUCAGCAACGCUGCGGUGAAUACGUUCCCGG